rnacentral:misc_RNA from 1 species
AAAGUGCGAAAAGUGUCAUGACUUGCAGAUUCCCGAGAGCUGACAAAUCUCUGAAUGCAAAUGGCAGUCGCGUUAGACCCGACUAUGUAUUGUAGAGUGUAGAUGCUCCAGCUAUUCAUCAAUGUAUGUCUAUACAUAUAUUGGAUCUGCGCUUGCGAAGAGAUCUCUCUCUUCGCGAGUGUUAAAAGCAAAGGUCUACAUUCCUUAACCAUAGGAAUGUGCACCGAUGGAAAGUGUAUCUCUAUACUGAAAAUCGGAUGCCUCAUAUGAGACCCUUAAUUCUACCAUAUCUAAUAUGAGCCACCUCUACAAUGCAUGAAAACCCGCUGAACUUAA